rnacentral:rRNA from 1 species
CCUACGGGAGGCAGCAGUAGGGAAUCUUCCACAAUGGGCGAAAGCCUGAUGGAGCAACGCCGCGUGGGUGAAGAAGGUCUUCGGAUCGUAAAACCCUGUUGUUAGAGAAGAAAGUGCGUGAGAGUAACUGUUCACGUUUCGACGGUAUCUAACCAGAAAGCCACGGCUAACUACGUGCCAGCAGCCGCGGUAAUACGUAGGUGGCAAGCGUUAUCCGGAUUUAUUGGGCGUAAAGGGUACGCAGGCGGUAUUUUAAGUCUGAUGUGAAAGCCUAUGGCUUAACCAGAGUAGUGCAUUGGAAACUGGGAGACUUGAGUACAGAAGAGGUGAGUGGAACUCCAUGUGUAGCGGUGAAAUGCGUAGAUAUAUGGAAGAACACCAGUGGCGAAAGCGGCUCUCUAGUCUGUAACUGACGCUGAGGUUCGAAAGCGUGGGUAGCAAACAGGAUUAGAUACCCUUGUAGUC